rnacentral:lncRNA from 1 species
GUCUCCUGCCACAUUGUGAGCGCUCCGCCGCCCAGAUAACCGCCGGCUCCCCGCGCCGCCCCCGCCUUCUCCCACUCCGCCCACUGCCGGGAGCCCAGGUAAAGACGAGAGCUGCGCAUGCGCGGCGCUCUCCGUGAGUCGGGGGGCGUGGUUGCCGAAAGGAAGCCAAAGUGAAGAGUGCAGGGGGUUGUAGCAGGCGCUGCUGUGGGAUUCCACAAAAUAGGCGCGGGUUAGGAUGGGGAAGGUAAAGUGAAGAAACGGGCCAAAGCAGAAAAGUGGGUCGACGUGAGAUUUGGAAGUAAAAAGAGACUUUGAAUAAAAACUUAACGACUGCUGACCUCCUUGUUCUCCUUGGAGGGCAGUGGGAGUGACGGGGGGCAGAAAUCAGCUCGGCAGCAUGCAAGCAGUAGUGGUCAUUCGCCGUAUGAAUGGGACCGCUAAAAACUGAACAGUUUCGAGAUUGCCAGGGUGCUCAGAAAAACAGAUUUAGAGCCUCGCCUGUCCUGUGGCCAGGAAUAGGGAAGGGGAUGUGUGUGUUUGAGACCUACAGCAGCUGCGGUAAAGGAAGCCUCCAUUGUAUUACAGUAUUAUGACUAAUUAGCUAUUAAUCAUUAAUAUACUCAGUGGUACUAUUAGUUAACAAGGUAGCAUUUAUCCGAGUUCAGAGACAAGAGAGUGUCCAUAAUUGAAAGUGUUUAGGGUACAGGGAGAGGAAAUGAACCCGGCAAGGUGAAGGCCUGGGAUGGAAAAGACCCAAGACAGCAAAUCCGAGGUCAGGGUUCCCUUUCCCAACAUAAACCAAACUUCCCUGAAGUUGUCCAAAUCCUACCUUAAUUGGAACUCCUUCCAUUAUUAAAAGCACACUUAACUAAUGUUCUUGCACUAAGGCUGACCCCAAUAGCACAUAAACAUUUUCUUUUUCUUUUUUUUUUUUUCUUAUUUGAGACAUGGUCUCACUCUGUCACUCAGGCUGGAGCGCAGUAGCAUGAUCACGGCUCACUGCCGCCUCCUCCUACCACGCUCACAUAAGCCUCCCACCUCAGCCUGUGGAGUAGCUGGGACUACAGGAGUGUGCUGCCUCACCUGGAUAAUUUUUAAAUUUUUGUAGAGACAAGGUCUCCCUAUGUUCCCCAGGUUGGUCUCAAACUCUUGGGCUCAAGCAGUCCUCCCACCUCAGCCUCCCAAAGUAAUGGGAUUACAGGUAUGAGCCACUGUACCUGGCUGACAUUUUCAAUACACAUGCAGCUACUUUUCCCUAAAAUAGCACUGCUAUGGUUUGAAUGUGUCCCCCAAAGUUCACAUGUUGGAAACUUAAUAAUCCCAAUGCAAAAGUGUUGGAAACUGGGGCCUAAUAAGAGUUUAUUAGGUCAUGAGGGCUCUGCCUUCAUGAAUGGAUUCAUAUCAUAAACAGUGCGUUAGUUAUCUCCAGGCCGGGCGCAGUGGCUCAUGCCUGUAAUCCCAGCAGUUUGGGAGGCCAAGGCAGGCAGAUCACUUGAGGCCAGGAGUUUGAGACCAGCCUGGCCAACAUGGUGAAACCCGUCUCUACUAAAAAUACAAAAAAAUUAGCUGGGCGUGGUGG